GACGUUGUAACCGAGCGGUCUAAGGUGCCAGUUUUAGGUAACAAAACUUGAUACACUGGUCUUCGGGCGCGGGUUCGAAUCCCGCCAACGUCA